AAACACUCAUCACAGCAAUCCAGUCAGCAAACAAAAUGACCACCACUUGCCGUCUCUGAUUCCAUGUUUGCCUCGAGACAGAGAACUCCUUGCAAGUACAAAUUCUGUACAGGAGAUGCAUGGAAUCCAAUGCUCUUUCCACUGAAGUGGAAAGUAGGCUGUUAACAACCUCCCCAGAAUCCUUGUAAGUAACCCCUCCCCAGGGGAGAACACACAUCUAGAACUUGAGCCUGGAAUUCAGGUCAGCUUGGUAUCAACAAUCAUCCAGGGUCUCCCCAUGGCCAGUGUGGCUUUUCUCCCCCUUAGAUAUGCUGGAAGAGGAGUCAUCUAAGUUUGUUUUUCCUCUCUAGUCUUCUGAUCAGCUAGGAGGAUCCGAGGUUCCAACUGAGUUCUCUUGCUUCACCUUGGGCAAGAGGAGAAAAAACAGUCACUUGUACACCUAACAACAAACCCCUGACCCUCUUCAAGGCAGAGGAAAGUAACUUUCCAAACUCUUCUUGAAUAAGAAGAAAAGAACCUCUCCUCUUUCAACAGGGUUGAAUGGGAAGACAAAUGAAGGAACAGGCUGAAGAGUAAAGAAGAAGCCACAACCCUCAAGGAAAGAAGGGAGGUAAGAUAGAAAAGCUCUCUUAACCAACCUCCUCUAACUACCUCACAGAUUCAACCAGCACCAUCAAUUUCCACUAAGAAACACACCAGAGAAGCUCCCGGCACACUCCUUGCUCACAGCACUGGGCCACUCACUCUCUCAUGCCCUAUGCACUUCUGUUCUCACUAAUCGAGUCGUUUGCUUAUCAAAGGUAAUGUGUUCCCCAAUUUGUUCAUGCCAGUUGUAUGUGUUACUGUAGUUAUGUAUU